rnacentral:rRNA from 1 species
GAGUUUGAUCCUGGCUCAGGAUGAACGCUGGCGGCGUGCCUAAUACAUGCAAGUCGAGCGAACAGACGAGGAGCUUGCUCCUCUGACGUUAGCGGCGGACGGGUGAGUAACACGUGGAUAACCUACCUAUAAGACUGGGAUAACUUCGGGAAACCGGAGCUAAUACCGAAUAAUAUAUUGAACCGCAUGGUUCAAUAGUGAAAAACGGUUUUGCUGUCACUUAUAGAUGGAUCCGCGCCGCAUUAGCUAGUUGGUAGGGUAACGGCUUACCAAGGCGACGAUGCGUAGCCGACCUGAGAGGGUGAUCGGCCACACUGGAACUGAGACACGGUCCAGACUCCUACGGGAGGCAGCAGUAGGGAAUCUUCCGCAAUGGGCGAAAGCCUGACGGAGCAACGCCGCGUGAGUGAUGAAGGUCUUCGGAUCGUAAAACUCCGUUAUUAGGGAAGAACAAAUGUGUAAGUAACUAUGCACGUCUUGACGGUACCUAAUCAGAAAGCCACGGCUAACUACGUGCCAGCCGCCG